GACAACUGCCCGAGCAAAAAUGAUCCGAUUCGCCAUUUUGAACUAACGGUGUUGCCAGUAAAAAUAUUGUUAGGCUUUGUUUGCACCAUGGAAAAGCGCACAAAUAAUAAGAGGGGUGAUAAAAAACACAAUAGUUAUAACUAAAAACUAAUUUGAUUAGGUAUGUUAAUACGCAGAAAAUAGAAAAUCGAAAAAGCGCUUCAGGACUCAAUUUUCUUUAAAUAUCCCGUAAUCUACUAGGUAGACCGACGAUCUGGUAAAGGUCGCGGGAAGAGCCUGGAUUCAUCGUGGAAAACCUUGGGGGAGGUCAUUUGGCUGAAACGAAUUUUUGGAGGAAAUUUGGAGGACGUCAUUUGGCUGAAACGAACGAGUGAACGAUCCCGUAAUUUUAUAGAAACCUAACACCUCCAAAUUCUAUUAGAUUUUAAAUCGAGUUUGAGUCUUCCAUCCCUUCGACUACCUAGGGCGCUACCAGAAUAAGGCUCCUAGUUUUAAUAAGAUGCUGCCCGCCGCUUUAUAUCGGCUGACCGCCACUCGCGCGCACAGUCCGCCGUUAGUGUCGUACCAAAAUGACGCGACUUGUUGUGAUUGGCUUGCUGCUCACCUUACACCUUACCAAUGCCACACUCGACAAACUAGACAUCCACAAGCUGGCAGACGCUGCCACAGCCAAGCUUCACUCCUUGAAAGAAACAGUACACACUCUAAAAGAAAACGCUGCGUACAACAUCAAGCACUUCGCAGAUGAUAUCGACCUUAACAACCUCCACAAACUAGACGUCCUACAGAUAGGACCAGCUCUAAAGAAGAAGUAUGCCCUUCUAAAAGAACUUUACCACAAACCAGCGACCAAAGUCAACGUGGUUCACAUCUACGGUGAUGAAUUGAGCUCGCAUUUUGAUCACGCACCUUUCAUAAAGUACAAGGAAUACGUAGAUGAUCACGGUCAUCACCAUCAUCAUCAUGGGCACCAUCAUAACCAUUUCCAUGAUCUGCCGUAUGCGUUGAAAAGGAUCGGCGUUUGAUUGGUGAAUAAUUAAUGCCAAUUUGACUGCAGCUUUAACUUACAUUUUGAAAAACUCGUUUUCACAUAAUUUUACGUCCGUAUUCACAAACUGCGUUUUCCGGUACGUGGCCUCUAUUCCAGAACCUUGCUGCCCCAUCGGCCGUCAGUUCUGCGUACUAUGUGCCCUGCCCACUGCCACUUCAGCUUGCUGAUCCGUCGGGCUAUGUCAGCGACUUUAGUUCGUUUACGGAUCUCCUUAUUUCUGAUUCGAUCUCGUAAAGAAACACCGAGCAUAGCCCUCUCCAUAGCACGCUGUGCAACUUUGAGCUUCUGUAUAAGGCCUAUAGUGAGGGGCCACGUUUCCGAGCCAUAAGUCAUCACAGGUAACACACAUGGAGGCCACGUACCGGAAAACGCAGCGUGGGACGUCCACCCACAAGGUGGACCGACGACCUGAUAAAGGUAGCGGGAAGGCGCUGGAUGCAGGCCGCUACCAACCGUGCGAUGUGGAAGUCAUUGGGGGAGGCCUAUGUUCAGCAGUGGACGUCCUGUGGCUGAAAUGAUGAUGAUGAUGAUGAUGAUGAUUCACAAACACUACUAUGAGGUUUCACAGUGCGCGUGGACGGACUGGGUGAUAUACGAACCAAAAAGAGCUGUAUUCAACGCUGUGCGUACGGUUUGCUGCUUCACUUAAGCAAGCAUCGUUUGUGAAUACGGGUGUUAGUGCCUGUCAAGUUUGAAUCAAUCAAAAUUGUUAUUUAUUUCAAGUUUCUAAAUACCGUUAUGUUGUAUUGAUUGGCCAUCUUUUUGCCAAUUUCUUCUCUGAUUAGUAUUGUACUUGUUAAAUUGUUUUUCUAUUUUGUAAUGAGUGUUUUAAAAUGAUAGUUUUUUAGUAUCUUUUCGUGGCCAUUAUGAACGGGUAGGUUUGUUAAGAAAUACCAAAUUGUUAAGUUAGGUGCGAUGUAAAUAGACUGUUCUUUCUUGGGUGUGUGGAUUGGAUGUAUUAUAAGUUUAUAAGUAAGAGCACGUUAUUUAAUAUUACAAUUUUUGUAAACAAUAAAUAACCUUUUUUUAAAA